rnacentral:rRNA from 1 species
CGCAUCUGUGCAUGCAGCAUAUCAAUAAGCGGAGGAAAAGAAACUAACAAGGAUUCCCCUAGUAACGGCGAGUGAAGCGGGAAGAGCUCAAAUUUGAAAUCUUAAAGGGUUUCCCUUUACGAAUUGUAGUUUAAAGAAGUGUUUUCUGUUGAGGUUUUGGUAAAAGUUCUUUGGAAUAGGACAUCAUAGAGGGUGAGAAUCCCGUAUUUGACCUUUACUUUCAACUUUGUGAUACACUUUCAAAGAGUCGGAUUGUUUGGGAAUGCAGUCCAAAAUGGGUGGUAAAUUUCAUCUAAAGCUAAAUAUUGGCGAGAGACCGAUAGCGAACAAGUACCGUGAGGGAAAGAUGAAAAGAACUUUGAAAAGAGAGUUAAACAGUAGCGUGAAAUUGUCAAAAGGGAAGCGUUUGACACCAGUGUUGUUUUUCUGAAAAUCAAUUAAAGAACUGUUUAUGCUAAGCUGUUUAGACUUUAUCAGCUAACUGUUUAGUUUUGAGCUUUCCUUUAAUGCACUUUUCAGUUAACAAGUCAACAUCAAUUUCUUUUGCUGUAAAAAAGCUUGAGGAAGGUGGCUUGAGAUUCGUCUUAAGUGUUUAUAGCCUCUUGCCUAUGCAGUCGGAGAGAUUGAGGUCUGCAGCGUAGAUCCUUCGGGGCUAAAUGCAUUUGUGCUAAGUUAUAGCAUUUUAUAGACAACUUGUUGACUAUGAUUUGUCUUGUAGCUUACUCGCUUAUGUUAUUUUACCUACGCUUAGGAUGUUGAGUCAUCACACAUCUCU